CUCAGGAAAGAAUGCAGACUACUCAUCAUGGAGUUUGGGCUCAGCUGGGUUUUACUUAUUGCAAUUUUAAAAGGUGUCCAGAGUGAGGUGCAGCUGGUGAAGUCUGGUGGAGGCUUGGUGAAGCCUGGGGGGUCCCUGAGACUCUCCUAUGCAGCCUCUGGAUUCACUGUCAGUAGCUAUGAUAUGAACUGGGUCCGCCAGGUUCCAGGGAAGGGCCUGGAGUGGGUCUCAUACAUUAGUAGUGGUGGUACAACAUACUAUGCCAGCUCUGUGAAGGGCUGACUGACCAUUU